rnacentral:rRNA from 1 species
UGGGGAAUAUUGCACAAUGGGCGAAAGCCUGAUGCAGCAACGCCGCGUGAGUGAUGAAGGCCUUCGGGUUGUAAAGCUCUGUCUUCUGGGACGAUAAUGACGGUACCAGAGGAGGAAGCCACGGCUAACUACGUGCCAGCAGCCGCGGUAAUACGUAGGUGGCAAGCGUUGUCCGGAUUUACUGGGCGUAAAGGAUGCGUAGGCGGAUACUUAAGUCAGAUGUGAAAAUCCCGGGCUUAACUUGGGAACUGCAUGUGAAACUGGGUAUCUAGAGUGCGGGAGAGGAAAGUGGAAUUCCUAGUGUAGCGGUGAAAUGCGUAGAGAUUAGGAAGAACACCAGUGGCGAAGGCGACUUUCUGGACCGUAACUGACGCUGAGGCAUGAAAGCGUGGGGAGCAAACA